rnacentral:rRNA from 1 species
UACGAAGGGGGCUAGCGUUGCUCGGAAUCACUGGGCGUAAAGGGUGCGUAGGCGGGUCUUUAAGUCAGGGGUGAAAUCCUGGAGCUCAACUCCAGAACUGCCUUUGAUACUGAAGAUCUUGAGUUCGGGAGAGGUGAGUGGAACUGCGAGUGUAGAGGUGAAAUUCGUAGAUAUUCGCAAGAACACCAGUGGCGAAGGCGGCUCACUGGCCCGGUACUGACGCUGAGAUGCGAAAGCGUGGGGAGCAAACAGG